GGAAUAUAGCUCAGUGGUAUAGCGCAUGCUUAGCAUGUACAAGGCUCUGGGUUCAAUCCCAGUGCCA
rnacentral:tRNA from 1 species